CGCUGGCGGCGUGCCUAAUACAUGUAAGUCGAACGGUCUUUCUAUGGAAGCUUGCUUCCACUGAGAAGAUAGUGGCGGACGGGUGAGUAACACGUGGGUAACCUGCCCAUAAGAGGGGGAUAACAUCCGGAAACGGGUGCUAAUACCGCAUAGUUUUCUUGAUCGCAUGAUUGAGAAAGGAAAGACGGCCUUUGUGCUGUCGCUUAUGGAUGGACCCGCGGCGUAUUAGUUAGUUGGUGAGGUAAUGGCUCACCAAGACGAUGAUACGUAGCCGACCUGAGAGGGUGAUCGGCCACAUUGGGACUGAGACACGGCCCAAACUCCUACGGGAGGCAGCAGUAGGGAAUCUUCCGCAAUGGACGAAAGUCUGACGGAGCAACGCCGCGUGAGUGAAGAAAGGUUUUCGGAUCGUAAAACUCUGUUGUCAGAGAAGAACAAGUUGGAGAGUAACUGCUCCAGCCUUGACGGUAUCUGACCAGAAAGCCACGGCUAACUACGUGCCAGCCGCCGC
rnacentral:rRNA from 1 species